GAUUCAGUCUCAACGUGAGGAUGGGCACCACACAAUCAAUUACACCAGUCUUCGGCUGCAGAAUCGACCCCACAGCUCGUGUGCCCAAGAAGGACGAUGAAGUUCCCCCCGAGCACGAGUUCAGUUUCAAAUGGAAUACUCUAUUUCGUCAAGGAGAAACCCUGUUGUGAGAAGGAGAGGUCAGCGCUCUCUAAGAAGACCGAAGCAUGAUGAGAAGGAUUCACCUCUAGCGGGAGCAACACAAACACCAGUGUCAACACUGUUGAAGAAAGCUUCAGAGAAUAUGAAUUCACCAAGUGUAAUGAAUAUUUCAAAGCACCUUAAAAAGGUAGAAAU